CGACAAGCGUUCCACAAGUUCUCGGCGUAGAGGAUGUCAUUCAUCAAGGAGCGAGCUGACCUGCUGAAGAGGGGAACCGGGGCGGCCCAGCUGAAGUACGAGAAGACGGG